rnacentral:rRNA from 1 species
CUUCCCUACGGGGGGCAGCAGUGAGGAAUAUUGGUCAAUGGGCGCGAGUCUGAACCAGCCAAGUCGCGUAAGGGAAGACGGUCCUAUGGAUUGUAAACCUCUUUUGUCAGGGAGCAAAAGACGCCACGUGUGGCGUUCCGAGAGUACCCGAAGAAAAAGCAUCGGCUAACUCCGUGCCAGCAGCCGCGGUAAUACGGAGGAUGCGAGCGUUAUCCGGAUUUAUUGGGUUUAAAGGGCGCGCAGGCGGAAGAUCAGGUCAGCGGUAAAAUUGAGAGGCUCAACCUCUUUGAGCCGUUGAAACUGGU